CUGCUGCCUCCCGUAGGAGUCUGGGCCGUGUCUCAGUCCCAGUGUGGCCGUCCACCCUCUCAGGCCGGCUGCUGAUCGUCGCCUUGGUGGACCGUUACCCCGCCAACUGGCUAAUCAGACGCGGGCCCAUCCUGUACCACCGGAGUUUUCAAAGGAUUACCAUGCGGUAUUCCCUAUUAUGCGGUAUUAGCACCUAUUUCUAAGUGUUAUCCCCCGGUACAGGGCAGGUUGCCCACGCGUUACUCACCCGUCCGCCACUAAGACAG
rnacentral:rRNA from 1 species